GAUGAACGCUAGCGGCAGGCUUAAUACAUGCAAGUCGAGGGGCAGCAGGUCCCGCAGCAAUGCGGGAUGCUGGCGACCGGCAAACGGGUGCGGAACACGUACAGAACCUUCCUUUAAGUGGGGAAUAGCCCGGGGAAACCCGGAUUAAUACCCCGUAACAUAAUGAAGUGGCAUCACUUUAUUAUUAUAGCAGCAAUGCGCUUGAAGAUGGCUGUUCGGCUGAUUAGGUAGUUGGCGGGGUAACGGCCCACCAAGCCUACGAACAGUAACUGGAGGGAGAGCACGACCAGGCACACGGGCACUGAGACACGGGCCCGACUCCUACGGGAGGCAGCAGUAAGGAAUAUUGGGCAAUGGACGCAAGUCUGACCCAGCCAUGCCGCGUGGAGGAUGAAGGGCCUCUGGAUUGUAAACUUCUUUUAUCUGGGAAGAAAUCUAUUUUUUCUAAAGUAGUUGACGGUACCAGAUGAAUAAGCACCGGCUAACUCCGUGCCAGCCGCCGCCGUAA
rnacentral:rRNA from 1 species